CCCUUAGAUGUUCUGGGCCGCACGCGCGCUACACUGACUGGUGCAACAAGUGUCUGACCUUGGCUCGAGAGGCCUGGGCAACCUUUGAACGCCAGUCGUGCUGGGGAUAGAUUCUUGCAAUUAUUAAUCUUCAACGAGGAAUUCCUAGUAAACGCAAGUCAUCAGCUUGCAUUGAUUACGUCCCUGCCCUUUGUACACACCGCCCGUCGCACCUACCGAUUGAAUGGUCCGGUGAAGCCUCGGGAUUGUGGUUCUUGCCGCUUUAUUGUGGCGUGACCGCGAGAACUUGUCUAAACCUUAUCAUCUAGAGGAAGGUGAAGUCGUAACA
rnacentral:rRNA from 1 species